rnacentral:lncRNA from 1 species
CCCUCGCGUGCUUUUAAAUACACAGUAUUUGCAACGAUGUUUUCCAAUUCCAUUUACUUAUUGUUUUGAGAUAAUGGAGAUCAACAAGGGUCAACUUCGACCCUAAUUGAGUCCACUAACUCGCUAUUAAAAUCCCAGGGUGUGGUAAAGAAAUCCAACAAUAUGGCGAACAUUCAGAAAAUGAGAGUGUCGUGUGAUCUGAUUGGUCAAAAUAGGUU